UAGGGAAUCUUCCGCAAUGGGCGAAAGCCUGACGGAGCAACGCCGCGUGAGUGAUGAAGGUCUUCGGAUCGUAAAACUCUGUUAUUAGGGAAGAACAAAUGUGUAAGUAACUAUGCACGUCUUGACGGUACCUAAUCAGAAAGCCACGGCUAACUACGUGCCAGCAGCCGCGGUAAUACGUAGGUGACAAGCGUUAUCCGGAAUUAUUGGGCGUAAAGCGCGCGUAGGCGGUUUUUUAAGUCUGAUGUGAAAGCCCACGGCUCAACCGUGGAGGGUCAUUGGAAACUGGAAAACUUGAGUGCAGAAGAGGAAAGUGGAAUUCCAUGUGUAGCAGUGAAAUGCGCAGAGAUAUGGGGGAACACCAGUGGCGAAGGCGACUUUCUGGUCUGUAACUGACGCUGAUGUGCGAAAGCGUGGGGAUCAAACAGG
rnacentral:rRNA from 1 species